UAGGGAAUCUUCGGCAAUGGACGAAAGUCUGACCGAGCAACGCCGCGUGAGUGAAGAAGGUUUUCGGAUCGUAAAACUCUGUUGUUAGAGAAGAACAAGGACGUUAGUAACUGAACGUCCCCUGACGGUAUCUAACCAGAAAGCCACGGCUAACUACGUGCCAGCAGCCGCGGUAAUACGUAGGUGGCAAGCGUUGUCCGGAUUUAUUGGGCGUAAAGCGAGCGCAGGCGGUUUCUUAAGUCUGAUGUGAAAGCCCCCGGCUCAACCGGGGAGGGUCAUUGGAAGCUAGGAGACUUGAGUGCAGAAGAGGAGAGUGGAAUUCCAUGUGUAGCGGUGAAAUGCGUAGAUAUAUGGAGGAACACCAGUGGCGAAGGCGGCUCUCUGGUCUGUAACUGACGCUGAGGCUCGAAAGCGUGGGGAGCAAACAGG
rnacentral:rRNA from 1 species